UCUGAGCCUAGGUGUACCAUCCAGGCAGAGGGCUCAGCAGAACCACCAGGGCAUGGAACCACCUGGCUGCUGGAGACUGGAAGCCUCUGAUGGGAUAGGCGGAGCUUCAGUUGCUGCAGCCAAUGGAGAUGGCAUUUGGUGGGACUGAAGAGUCUGUACCCCUUAGGCUGUGGACCAGAAGUCCACACCAUCCUUAACACCCAGUUCUUGGAUACCUGCUCCUGCAUGUCAUUCUCUACCUGCAAUUAUGAGAUGUGGACGGUGCCACCACUAACACCCCAUUCUACGAGCUGUUGAAAACUAUGCCACACACCAUCCCAUACAUUUCCCUCUUCUUGCCUCAAUGCAAAUAAAGAAAAAUAAUCUACGGCACUGA